rnacentral:rRNA from 1 species
CAUUAAAGAGUUCUAUAACUCCCAAACCCAUGUGAACAUACCUAACGUUGCCUCGGCAGGUCGCACCUACCUUGUAGCACCCUACCCUGUAGGGCCUACCCGGGAGGUGCGGGUAAGCCUGCCGGCGGCCCACCAAACUCUGUUUGAUAUUGAAUUCUGAACCUAUAACUAAAUAAGUUAAAACUUUCAACAACGGAUCUCUUGGUUCUGGCAUCGAUGAAGAACGCAGCGAAAUGCGAUAAGUAAUGUGAAUUGCAGAAUUCAGUGAAUCAUCGAAUCUUUGAACGCAUAUUGCGCCCAUUAGUAUUCUAGUGGGCAGGACCGUUCGAGCGUCAUUUCAACCCUUAAGCCUUCGUUGCUUAGUGUUGGGAGCCUACGGCAACGUAGCUCCUCAAAGUUAGUGGCGGAGUUGGUUCACACUCUAGACGUAGUAAUUUUUUAUCUCGCCUAUUAGUUGGACUAAUCCCCUGCCGUAAAACCCCCAAUUUAUCAAGGUUGACCUCGAAUCGGUUCAGACAAACUCGCUAAAUUGAAGCAUCUUAGUCAGCGAAGGAAAAGAAACCAACAGGGAUUGCCCUAGUAACGGCGAGUGAAGCGGCAACAGCUCAAAUUUGAAAUCUGGCCCUCGGGUCCGAGUUGUAAUUUGUAGAGGAUGCUUUUGGCGCGGUGCCUUCCGAGUUCCCUGGAACGGGACGCCUUA